rnacentral:lncRNA from 1 species
CAGUUUCACCCUCAAACACAUCUCACUUUCAUCGUUAUCGAUGAUACCGAUGCACAGAGGAUAUAUCCCAAUACCUGACACACUUUUCUUAAUCUCUACAUAGAGCUUGAUUCCCUUAUCAUCACAGAUCAACAAGGGAAAUGAAUUUCCUUUAACAAUAUAUCAGACUUCAAUUUGUUUUCUUGUUUCAUCGAUUUCGACUUCUGCAGCAAUUGUAGAAAUUAACUUUUCAUACGUUUCAUUCUCUCUGACUACAGCACAAUCAAUCUUGUAUCAUUCGUACUUGACAUCAACAAUCAAACACUGAAAUAUCAUAAUAACAUAGACAUAUUCAUUGAAAAUCAUUGGAAAAAAUCACAGAAAAAAGCAGAGAAAAGAAGAAAAUAUAUAUGUUCA